UACGUAGGUGGCAAGCGUUGUCCGGAUUUACUGGGCGUAAAGGGAGCGUAGGCGGAUGUUUAAGUGGGAUGUGAAAUACUCGGGCUCAACUUGAGUGCUGCAUUCCAAACUGGAUAUCUAGAGUGCAGGAGAGGAAAGGAGAAUUCCUAGUGUAGCGGUGAAAUGCGUAGAGAUUAGGAAGAAUACCAGUGGCGAAGGCGCCUUUCUGGACUGUAACUGACGCUGAGGCUCGAAAGCGUGGGGAGCAAACAGGAUUAGAUACCCCGUA
rnacentral:rRNA from 1 species